AGAGUUUGAUCCUGGCUCAGGAUGAACGCUAGCGACAGGCCUAACACAUGCAAGUCGAGGGGUAACAGGGGAGCUUGCUUCCGCUGACGACCGGCGCACGGGUGAGUAACACGUAUGCAACCUGCCUGUAAUUGCGGGAUAGCCUUUUGAAAGGGAGAUUAAUACCGCAUGUGAUUAUAUUACCGCAUGGUAAUAUACUUAAAUGCAAAGAUUACAGAUGGGCAUGCGUUUCAUUAGCUAGUUGGGGGGGUAACGGCCCACCAAGGCUACGAUGAAUAGGGGUUCUGAGAGGAAGGUCCCCCACACUGGUACUGAGACACGGACCAGACUCCUACGGGAGGCAGCAGUGAGGAAUAUUGGUCAAUGGACGGAAGUCUGAACCAGCCAUGUCGCGUGCAGGAUUACGGCCCUAUGGGUUUUAAACUGCUUUUAUACGAGGAUAAAAUGUACUAUGUAUAGUAUAUUGCAGGUAUCGUAUGAAUAAGGAUCGGCUAACUCCGUGCCAGCAGCCGCGGUAAUACGGAGGAUCCGAGCGUUAUCCGGAUUUAUUGGGUUUAAAGGGUGCGUAGGCUGGGAAAUAAGUCAGCGGUGAAAGUUCAGGGCUUAACUUUGAAAUUGCCGUUGAAACUGUUUUUCUUGAGUAUAUUGGAAGUAGGCGGAAUGUGUAGUGUAGCGGUGAAAUGCAUAGAUAUUACACAGAACCCCGAUUGCGAAGGCAGCUUACUAUACUAUUACUGACGCUGAUGCACGAAAGCGUGGGGAUCAAACAGGAUUAGAUACCCUGGUAGUCCACGCUGUAAACGAUGAUAACUCGCUGUUUGCGAUAUACCGCAAGUGGCCAAGCGAAAGCGUUAAGUUAUCCACCUGGGGAGUACGCCGGCAACGGUGAAACUCAAAGGAAUUGACGGGGGCCCGCACAAGCGGAGGAACAUGUGGUUUAAUUCGAUGAUACGCGAGGAACCUUACCCGGGCUUGAAAUGCAUCUGACGUACUGUGAAAGCAGUAUUCUAGCAAUAGCAGAUGU
rnacentral:rRNA from 1 species